CAUGAUCAGAAUUACACUUCAAAAGACUGCUCUGGACGCCACGUUGAGAAUCAUCUAGGAAAGAUCAACCAUGUGAUGAGUCAAGAAGGCACUGAAUGAAAAGGUCCCACAAGAAUGCAGCAGAAAGUCCGUCCUCACCCAGCCCUCUUCACCUCAAGCCACCACAUCAGAGUAUCAGGAUUCUUUGCUGGCUGCAAAAGGCGUGUGUAUUUGAGGAGUCGUUUCUGCCCACUGAGCUUCCAGCCCUCUCUUCAGCACACCCCACAGAGAAAAAGAAAAAGUACACAUGUAACAAAUAAGCAUGAAGUAAUCCAGAAGCAGAUACAAAGAUCACUUCAGAGCCAUCAAUCCCAUCAGAGAAGCCAGGAGACAAGUCAUCAGUCACACUUUAAUCAGCAGCAAUGGAUGGGAUGAAAAACGAGGAGCAUUCUGGAGCCUCCUAAGAAUUUACGUACGAGAAAAUCUGAGCUUUGUGUGAGUCAAGAAAAUUGUUGAAUAUCAUCGAACUAGCAAGAGAGAGUAUCCAGAACUGCAUCAUCAGAAGUCUAAACUGUUAUAUACCAUGUUAUGCUAGAAUCCGUCUCCACCUACUCUUCAGGCUCUACUGCUUAUGUUUUCUGUCAUCAUUUGGUUUAUAUUCUUACAUUUCUGUAGUGAAAGUCAUGGAUACAUCAAAGAAUAUUAAUAACCACCUUCUCAUGCAGUUACUUCACCGGUAGCAUUUGAUACAAAUUCUUGAGCUGUCUUGUAUUAGACUUUUUAUUAUAAAACUAUAAAAAAUAGUGUUUUAGAUAUAGGGGUGGAUAAAACAUUUGGCUACAACAGUGUAUCUUAAAAUAUAAAUUUUCACACUAAGGAAAAUAUAUGUCAUUUGUGGCUUUUUAAGAAGUAUUUAUGCUG